rnacentral:misc_RNA from 1 species
AGAAAUUUUAUUUCUUGAGAUCUUAUGCUUCGAGUCAUUAUGUAGACGACAAUGACCAUGUGAGCUUCAAGAUGAAGCCAACUAAAAUUCCAGUAGUCAGCUUAUCAAUAAUUGAUAUAUACGGUAUCAUAUGAACUUGGAGAGGAUUGUUGUGGAGACCCAAUUUGAGGAUGUAGGUGUGAACUUGAGUCAGAACAGUAACGCAGAUGAAACAUAGUUAAAUGAUCGUUUGAGUCACAUGAUCACAUGACUCAAAAUUGG